GAUGAACGCUGGCGGUGUGCCUAAUACAUGCAAGUCGGGCGGACCGACCGAGGGCUUGCUCUCGUAUGGUUAGCGGCGGACGGGCGAGUAACACGUGGGCAGCCUGCUCGUAAGACCGGGAUAACUCCGGGAAACCGGAGACAAUAAUGGAUCAUACCGACGACCGCAUGGUCCUCGGUUGAAAGGCGGCUUUCGGGAUGUCAUUUGCGGAUGGGCCGGGGGCGCAUUAGCUAGUUGGAGGGGAACCGGGCCCCCAAGCCGCGGAUGCGUAGCGGGCUUGGAGGGAGGCCGACCCCACUGGGAAUGAGACCCGGCCCAGACUCCUUCGGGAAGCAGCAGUAGGGAAACUUCCGCAAAGGGCGACAGCCUGGCGGAACGCCGCCGCGUUGGCGGAGGAGGCCUUCGGGUCUGAAAAGUCUGUUGUGUGGGACAAAAGAGCGGCAUGCGAAGAGGGCGGCGCAGUGACGGUACCUCACGAGUAAGCCCCGGCUAACUUCGUG
rnacentral:rRNA from 1 species